rnacentral:rRNA from 1 species
GAGUUUGAUCCUGGCUCAGAACGAACGCUGGCGGCGUGCUUAACACAUGCAAGUCGAACGUGAUUCAGAGCUUGCUCUGAUGAAAGUGGCGCACGGGUGAGUAACGCGUGGAUAACCUGCCCUGGUAUCUGGGAUAACAUCUCGAAAGGGGUGCUAAUACCGGAUAAGCCUACGGGAUCUUCGGAUUCUGCAGGAAAAGGAGGCCUCUAUUUAUAAGCUUCCGUAUCAUGAUGGGUCCGCGUACCAUUAGCUAGUUGGUGGGGUAAUGGCCUACCAAGGCAACGAUGGGUAGCCGGCCUGAGAGGGUGAACGGCCACACUGAGACUGAGACACGGCCCAGACUCCUACGGGAGGCAGCAGUGGGGAAUCUUCCGCAAUGGACGAAAGUCUGACGGAGCAACGCCGCGUGUAUGAUGAAGGUCUUCGGAUUGUAAAGUACUGUCUUUGGGGAAGAAUGACUGGCUUGAAAAUAUUGAGUCAGUAUGACGGUACCCAAGGAGGAAGCCCCGGCUAACUACGUGCCAGCAGCCGCGGUAAUACAAGGGCCCYUUCYM